ensembl:lncRNA
CACGCACACACACACACACACACACACACACACACACACACACACACACACACACAGAGCAGGUUAGUAAUGAGUCAUGUCAGGUGUGUUUGGACGAACAGACUGCCGAGACAUCUCCAUCCCCGGCCACACAUUCCAGCUCCUCCUGGGGCGUCCCCAGACUUUCCCAAACCAUCCGUGAGAUGUAAUGUCUUCAGCGGGUCCUGGGUCUGCCCUGAGCUCUCCACUAACAUGUGCCUGGUACAUGUUAGAUAACAAGAACCUUAAUUAUACACUCCCCUCCGAAACUAUUGGAACGGCAAGGCCAGAUCGUUUUGUUUUUGCUGUAGACCGAAGACAUUUGGGUUUGAGAUCACAAGAUGAAUAUGAGAAGAGAGGUUAGAAUUUCAGCUUCUAUUUCCUGGUAUUUAUACGUAGACGUGUUAAACGACACAGAACACAGCACGCUUUGUAUCAGAACACCCGAUUUGUAGGCGAAAAAAAAAAUGUGACUGACAGGUGUUUCUUGUUACCCAGGUGUGUCCUGUUAGAUUGAUUAAACUAUAAAAAGCUCUGAACAGCUACAAUUGCUUUUAGCCUUCAGUUUCACCUGUGAAGAAUGCAUUUGUUGACCCAUGAAGAUCCGUGAGCUGUCUAUGGGAGAAAAGCGAGUCAUUUUGAAGAUGAGAAAAGUGGGAAACACAAUCAGAUUACAGAAUCAUUACAGUCAUUACUGAAACAUCGGGUGUAACCAAUACGACGAUUUGGAAUGUCCUGAAAAAGAAAGAAAACGCUGGUGUACUGAGGAUCAGACACCGAACGGGUCGGAUAAGGAAAAAAACAACAGGUGAUGAUAGAAACAUUGUGAGAGCUGUGAAGAAAACCCCAAAACAACAGUCAGUGACAUCACCAACAACCUCCACAGGGCAGGGUGAAGGUCUCACAAUCCACCGCUCGAAGAAGACUUCGAGAGCAGAAAUUUAGAGGCCGUACCACAAGAUUGAAACCACUCAUCAGCAGUAAGAAUCAGAAAGUCAGAUUGUAAUUCACAAAGAAAUACUGAGAUGAUCCACAAAAGUUCUGGAACAAAGAUGAACCUCUACCAAAGUGAUGGAAAGUCCAAAGUGUGGAGAAAGAAAGGAUCUGCUCAUGAUCCAGAACGUACAAGCUGAUCUGUGGAACAUGGUGGAGGUAGCGUCAUGGCUUGGGCUUGCACGGCUGCUUCUGGAACGUUCUCCCUGAUCUUUAUUGAUGAUGAACUCAUGAUGGAGCAGCAGAAUGAAUUCAGACGUUUACAGGAACAUUUUAUCUGCAGAUUUACAGAGAAACGCAUCCGAAUGAAUCAGGAGGAACUUCAUCAUGCAGCGAGACAACGAUCCAAAACACACUUCCACCUCGACACAGGACUUCAUCAGGGGAAAGUGGAAGGGUUUAGACUGGACACGUCCAUCACCAGACCUUCACCCAACUGAUCAGCACCUCACCUCCUGAAGAGGAGACUGAAGGGAGAAACCCCCCGAAACACACAACUACUGAAAGAAGCUGCAGGAGAAACCUGGAGAAGCUUCACAGAAGAAGAAACGAACAGUUUGGUGUCAGUGAGUACAGGAUUGAUGCACUUACUGCAAGCAAAGGAAACACAACCAAAUAUUACGUGCUGUUUACUUUUUAUUUACUUCAAGACUGAUCCGUUCCUAUACUUUUGCUCGCCUAAAAAUCGUGCUGUCUGAAACAAAAGGUUGUAUGGUUUAUGUUGUAUAACACAUCAAACAUAGGUUCAAAACAUAUUUAAUAUAUACUAUCUUGUUUUAAUGUCAUUUAAUUUUGUUUAUUUCUUUCUAAGAUAUUUUUUUAUUUCUUCACAUUUUUUUUUUAUAUUUGAUUGAGUUUAAUUUCUCUUCGUUAACAUUCCUUAACAUUAACGUGUUUAUUGUAUUUGUGUCGUAUUGUAUUUUUCAUUUAAUGCUUUUAAUUGUCUUUAAUGUCUGUAAUAUCAAAUCAUCUUUUGUUUCGUCCCACUUUCUUUUUCUUAAAUACUUUCACCACCCUACUCACUGAUAGCUGAUUUAUUUAUUUAUUUAUUUAUUUAUUUAUUUAUAUCUGUGUUUUACUGCAUUUCUGUGUGAAUAAAGGUGACCUCCGUAAACACAACACGUUCCCCGUUCCUCCUGUGAGAACUCGAGAACAGGAGUCCGUGGGCUAACGGAGAGGAAACAGGAACAAGACGCUAACCCGAUUAUCCUCUGUAGCACAUUUAACAUGAAAUGAAACAUUUUUCUGCUGAACUAAUCAACGGGACGUUUGGCUAAUAAAUGCGAUUAGCGUUUCCAGGAACUGGGCCGUGCACAAAGGCUCCACUGUGGAUGCGAUAGGCUUCGUUUCUUAUUACGAUGGUUAUAAUGCUUUAUAAUCUUGACAUCUACAUGCACAUGCACGUAGAGAGAGAGAGAGAGAGAGAGAGAG